AACGAACGCUGGCGGCGUGCCUAACACAUGCAAGUCGAACGUGAUUGGGGAGCUUGCUCCUCAUGAAAGUGGCGCACGGGUGAGUAACGCGUAGAUAAUCUACCUGAUGAUUCGGGAUAACACUUCGAAAGGGGUGCUAAUACGGGAUAAGCCCACGGAGUCUUUGGACACUGCGGGAAAAGGAGGGGACCUUCGGGCCUUCCGUCAUCAGAUGAGUCUGCGUACCAUUAGCUAGUUGGUAGGGUAAAGGCCUACCAAGGCGACGAUGGUUAGCUGGUCUGAGAGGAUGAUCAGCCACACUGGAACUGAGACACGGUCCAGACUCCUACGGGAGUCAGCAGUGGGGAAUUUUGCGCAAUGGGGGAAACCCUGACGCAGCAACGCCGCGUGAGUGAUGAAGGCCCUUGGGUCGUAAAGCUCUGACAGAGGUAAAGAAAUGUGGGUGGCUAAUAUCCAUUCCACUUGACGGUACCCUCAAAGGAAGCACCGGCUAACUCCGUGCCAGCCGCCGCGGUAA
rnacentral:rRNA from 1 species